GUGUUUUUGGCAUUGGGCUAACACAAGAAAUCUAUUACUCUGAACUGGUAUCUCUAGACACUCACUAUAGUGCCCAGGCCACUAGUCCUGUCUCUCCCUUGACAGGGGAGCCAUAUUUUUCUUCCCACUGAUAUGGUUUUCCAAUUGAAGUGGAGAAUCAGCCAGCAAGGAAGGCAUCCUAGUAGCAUCUUAGGACCAUGCUAGGAGCCUAAAACUCAGAAAUUCAGGACCAUAGGGGUAGGGAUACCUCUCAGGAAUGUUGUGAGGAAUAAUUAACGUUGGCAAGGAGCCUUGAAGAAAAAAUACUGGGAGAGCACAUGGGCUUGGAUUGCUGGUGACUGAGCACCCGACUCCCAUUGAAACAACUGCUGAGUGAGUGUGUCUCUGGGGCUCUCAGCAUUAGUAUUAGUCACCAGCUAAAGAUGGGAAGAAGGGAAGUGAUUCAGCCUGCUCCUGUGGAUCUCUUGUGUCAGACCUUCAGGUCAGAACUGUUUCAUAGGGCAGGAGCUCUAUGUAAUACUCACGUCAGACCAUGGAGGCACAGAAGAACCAAGUCUGGAUAUGUCACUACGGCACAACACUUGGGCAGAGCUCUGUUGAAGUAAAUGUCACUAUGCCUGGAGUAAGAGGCUAUAGAGAGGCAUAAAGGUAUAAACAUCAGAUCUAGUGAGAUCAAGGACAUGAAUUUGCCUGAGGAGCAAAGCUUUUUCUUUAGGGGAAGAAGGUAGCCUCAAUUCUGAGUUACUCAAAAAGGGCUAAUUUAAAGAAUCUGAUCUUUAGGGGUUGUGGUCAGCAUAAGAUGGGCUAAUUAUACCAUGCUACUUGAACAAUUAAGUCCCCCCAAAUAAUUUUAAAAUCUUGGGCUAAAUGCCAGAGCACUAAAGAACCUUGGAAGUUUUCUUGUAAGUGGCAGCACUUCAACAGUUCUUCUGACCUACCCUGGACUAUACAACUCUCAAAGGUGAACCAGAGGACCUAUGUUUUUAAUUCUCUGCUUGCCUUUAUUCAGGCACUCAAGCUUUGGGAAAUACAUGCCUGUCCCUUGAAAAUCAGAAUAUUGAGGGAGGUUUGAAACUUGUAGCUCUAAUCAUUUCUGAACUUUUCAGCUUACAUUCUUCCACCCCUUUACGUGAUUUUUUCAUGUUGUAAUGUUUUCUUCUUCCUUCAUAGUGAUUAUUAACAGAUUUUUCUAAAAUGCCCAAAGCAGCAUACUUAGGUCAGAAAACAGAAGCUAGCAUGUUUCUGUCUACCAGCUUCCUCUCUUACUUAUAACAUUUCCCUUAUGUUUCCCAGGGUCAUGAACAGGUCUGGUUCCAGCAUUGCUUUGUGGGGCAAUGAGUAGGUCCUUGCCUAGAAACAGAUUUACAGUACAAAGGUUUGAGAGUGAGAUAUUCUCUUAUUUCAUUACUUUUUUUAAUCGAAGAUCUUAUAUAGAAAAAAAUC